GGCACUAACGCACAGGAGCUGGCCAUUUGGUUGUGGAGCGAUGGACGCCCUUUCAUCUACACAAACUGGUGUCAUGGACAGCCUGAUAAUACUGCAGGCAGGCAGCGCUGUUUGUUGAUGAACUUUUCAGAUGAAAAGUGCUGGGAUGAUGACACCUGUUCUGUCCAUUUUCCUUUUAUCUGCGCCAAGAAAGUCUGAUGAUUCAGAUGUUAAAACAGAAUCCAGUGGAGGACUGGUGUUGUGUGUUUCUGUUAACCUCAUAGAUAUCCAAAAAUCUCUUUUUGAUUCAAUUUCUCUUUACUGAAAUGAGGCCACAAAUAAACAGCAGGUGGACUUUUUCUCUUUAAUUAAAGAGUAUCAUUU